UAGUCCUAGCCGUAAACGAUGGACACUUGGUUUCGGGGGCCCUGAUGCCCUCGGUACUGGAGCUAACGCAUUAAGUGUCCCGCCUGGGGAGUAUGGUCGCAAGGCUAAAACUCAAAGGAAUUGACGGGGGGCUCACACAAGCGGUGGAGCAUGUUGUUUAAUUCGAAGCAACGCGAAGAACCUUACCAGGGCUUGACAUGCAGGAAGUAGAACCCCGAAACGGGAACCACCGGUAUCCAAUCCGGAACCUGCACAGGUGCUGCAUGGCUGUCGUCAGCUCGUGUCGUGAGACGUUGGGUUAAGUCCCGUAACGAGCGAAACCCUUGUCGUCUGUUGCUACCAGGUAAUGCUGGGCACUCUGGCGAGACUGCCGGUGUUAAACCGGAGGAAGGCGGGGACGACGUCAAGUCAUCAUGGUCCUUACGCCCUGGGCUACAAACGUGCUACAAUGGUGGGUACAGAGAGAAGCGAUGUCGCGAGGCGGAGCGAAUCUUCAAAACCUACCCCAGUUCAGAUUGGAGGCUGCAAUUCG
rnacentral:rRNA from 1 species